UGGGGGAUAUUGCACAAUGGGGGAAACCCUGAUGCAGCAACGCCGCGUGAAGGAAGAAGGUCUUCGGAUUGUAAACUUUUGUCCUCAGUGAAGAUAAUGACGGUAGCUGAGGAGGAAGCUCCGGCUAACUACGUG
rnacentral:rRNA from 1 species